UAACAAGCCUCCAGGGUGACCCUGUGUAUUCCUCCAGUGCUGGCCAGCACAGUUUGGAAAUGGUUUGAGGCCUUGCUCUUCCCUGUCCAGAAUAUGGUUAUAGAAAUUUUAGAUAAGC
ensembl:snoRNA